UGCUUAGCUGCAGAUAAGGCAUAGGAAUUAGAACUUUGUCCAGCUUAACCUGUAAGCGUGUAGAAUAAUAGGAUGGAAGAAAACAACAGAGACCACUGGCUAGUUUAGUCACUUUGGUCAACCAAGAGUCACUAUCAUAAUCAAAUGAUCUUUGUGGAGUGCUUUAUAAACUAAACCUUUCAAUAUAUUCCCCGUGCUGUCAGAGAGCCAGAGAACUACUACUUGAAUUCUUAUCCAGACUAUACAAGUUCCAAAUAACGAACGGUAUCAUAUGAAAAUGUUCAAAAACGUAUGUAAGGUUCAAAAAUUUCCAAUCCCUUCCACAACUUUAGGCUUAGUCAGAUUUAUUAAGCAGCAAUGUUUCAAAGCAAACUGUGGGUAAAUGAUAAAAUAUAAGAGAUCAGAAUAAGGAAUAGUCAGAGCUUAAUCAGGUGAGCUUUCGAAUAUUUCACAAAAUUGGGUUUCUAGACUCUCGCCUGAUCAUUAUUCAUCAGUUCAUCCCACUUCUUCAGAGCCACCAGUUUCCUUGCAUCACUGUCCAACAUACUGAUUCGAUAAUUCAAAUCCCCAAACCAGAAAAUCUGACUGUCAUCAGAAAGCCACCAUCAGUGAAUGACAUUUGGAAUGAAAAAAAAGAGUUCAUUCUGAACAUAAAGCCAUCAGAGUACUUAGGCAUAGCAAGUCCUUUUCUUUAAAUUUUAUUAAUUCAUCAAGCCAUUAAGUAGUUGGCCCUCUAUUUUCUUGUCUUCUUAGAAUCAAGUAGGACAUUUUCCCUGCAUGUCCUUUCUCCUGUCGAUUUAACUUUAGCUAUUUCACACUGGCCAUGAUUUAUUUUUAAUACUAAACAAUUUAAAUUUAUUGACACAUACAAACUUGAAGUUUCACAAUUUUCAAACAAAUUUUGCUUUUAACAAUAUAAGAUCUUGAUCUGAGAAUAACGUGACAGUUAAUGUUCUGAUCAAGUUCUGAAUUAAAUGAUAAUUUUCAUCAUAAAAUAAUUCUUACUCAUGAGAUGGGAUUGUUCGUGGUUGAUCAGUAUCAAAGACAGAUGAGAAGCAGGUGCGUCGUAGAAUUUCAUUGACAUCAGAGUUUCGCCUAUGUUCAGCUCCGUCCUUUUGACCAGAAGUCAGAUGGGAACAGACAAAGCACAGACGUGUUUGAAAGAGAGACAUACUUACUGAAACAGACCCCUGCAUCAGCGAUGAUUUGUUGUUACAUUCACUCAGAUCAGUAUAAGCAAGUGUUUUCAGUAAGUGGACACAGAUGGUAAGAUAUCUCAUGCUUUCCAUGCUAUGAUGCUCCUAGUUUACCUGAGACACUUUAAGAACACAUCAAGAUAUGGAGAGAACUUGUGUCACAGUAAAGCAACAAUAUAAGUGACAUAGUACCAUGUAGGAAGCAAGUACCUCCACAGCAGGAUACAAUGCUGAGUCAUAAAUACAUGCACUGAUGAUCAUAUUCACAACAUACCUAAUAUAGACCUUGUCAAUGCAAGUGCCACACACUACUCUUGUGAUCACACAAAAUUUUAUGACAAACUUGCAGGCAAAGAUUUCCAAAUCUUGACAAGCAUUCAAUGUCAUAUCUCUAAGCCAGAUCAAUGCCAUAUUAAACGUUAAACAUGCAUUACCUUGUUUCCCAUGUAGCCCAUUAGACCAACUCCAACGGGAGAAACUUUCAAAUUAUUAAUGCGCCUUCUCAACUUCCUUUGCACCCAAACUGAUACAUAUAUCCCUACCAUCUGCUUGCUGACGAUUCGAACAUAUCUCGGACGUGAUUUCACAGUGCCCAAUCCAUCAUCCUCUUGGUUCUUUGGUAACUCAAAGAGAGUAUCAUCUUCCUCGUCAGAUAUGUCAGAUACAUCAGAGUGGGAAUCAAUUACUUCUCUUGGCAUCACUUUCUCCUCUUUCCAGAUCAAGCCUAGGUUCCCAUGACUGUGGUGAGAACGCUUCAUCCCUUCGCCAUAUCUUAAAGCAUUUUCCGUCCAAUUAAAGCCAAUUCUAGCUGAGCUGCUUAGUACUCUCCGCAAUUUUGAAUUGGAAUCGACAGCUUGAGGGAAUGCAUCUAAUGGGCGUUCAGGCCAGUCAAGGCUAGUCUGAAGAUCAAUGCCAUAUAUUCUUCUCAAGUGUAAAUUCUUUCCUAUAUCAAUGGCCUUCUUCACUUCCUGAACAUCAGCUGCUGAGGAAGUCCUCAAUACUGGAGAAGGAGGGGCACUGUAGCUUUUGAUUUUGCAUUCAGUUUGAGAAGAUUUGUUCAGAGUUCUUCGAAUGAUUGCCUCCCACUUUGGGAUAGGUGUAUUAUCCUCUGCUCCCAGUACAUUGCCAGCAUUCAAAGGGACUACUUCUUGGAAAC